rnacentral:lncRNA from 1 species
CUCAGACCUUGUGUCUUCUGGUAGAACAUUCAAGAACUGAUGGUCAUCUCCAUGGCAACAUGAGGAUUCAAAUGAGAAAGACAUCUGGAAAUCAUGUAGAUGGGGUUCAAGAAUUUCUAACCAUACAACCCUGGAUGCUAUCUCCAUUCUCACAUUAAUGAAGGAAAUUCCCA